AGGAGUAUUUCUCUCUCUAGAUUUUUAUCAUUGAAAUUUAAAUAGUCAAAUGCUAAGCUGGAAACCCUACAAGCAUCAAAAGGCUUUCCAGUGUUUUCCUAUCUGAAGGUCUGAUCAAGAUUCUGAGCACAGCCGGAAAAGAAACUGCUUCUGGUGGUCCCUGUUUUAAGUCAUCUGAAGUGAAAUAUGGUAGAAUGUGAUACCUCCUGAUUUAGGCACUGUGGGAAUCAUUUAUUUCUGUCUCAAAGCCUACUCAUGUUUUCUUUGAUCAAAAGAAUGAUUAAAUGGUUUGUGUUUUCAUAAAAUGUAUGAAACUAACAUUUUUAAAUGGUACUACAGACUCAGUCUUGCAGCUCAUGUUAUUCUCAUUAAAACAUUGUUAUGAAAGUAAUAAGUAAAAUGAUAUUUAUC
rnacentral:lncRNA from 7 species